rnacentral:rRNA from 1 species
UGGGGAAUCUUCCGCAAUGGGCGAAAGCCUGACGGAGCAACGCCGCGUGAAUGAAGAAGGCCUUCGGGUCGUAAAGUUCUGUCUUUAGAGAAGAAGUCUCUUUAUGUAAAUAAUGUAGAGAGGUGACGGUACCUAAGGAGGAAGCUCCGGCUAACUACGUGCCAGCAGCCGCGGUAAUACGUAGGGAGCAAGCGUUGUCCGGAAUUACUGGGCGUAAAGGGCGCGUAGGCGGAUAAUUAAGUCAGGUGUGAAAACUCUGGGCUCAACCUGGAGAUUGCACUUGAAACUGGUUAUCUUGAGGGCAGGAGAGGAAAGUGGAAUUCCUAGUGUAGCGGUGAAAUGCGUAGAUAUUAGGAGGAACACCAGUGGCGAAGGCGACUUUCUGGACUGUACCUGACGCUGAGGCGCGAAAGCGUGGGGAGCGAACGGG